AUUGAACGCUGGCGGCAGGCCUAACACAUGCAAGUCGAGCGAGCGGCGGGGGGGUGAGUAAUGUAUGGGGAACUGCCCGAUAGAGGGGGAUAUCAACGGGAAAAGGGAGCUAAUACCGCGUACUAUCGGGUGAACCCAUAUGGGAUUAGCUAGUAGGUGGGGUAAAGGCUCACCUAGGCGACGAGCUCUAGCUGGUGUGAGAGGAUGAUCAGCCACACUGGGACUGAGACACGGUCCAGACUCCUACGGGAGGCAGCAGUGGGGAAUAUUGCACAAUGGGCGAAAGCCUGAUGCAGCCAUGCCGCGUGUAUGAAGAAGGCCUUAGGGUUGUAAAGUACUUUCAGCGGGGAGGCGUUACCCGCAGAAGAAGCACCGGCUAACUCCGUGCCAGCAGCCGCGGUAAUAC
rnacentral:rRNA from 1 species